rnacentral:tRNA from 1 species
UCUCUAGUGGCUCAGCCGGUAAAGCAUCUGCCUGCAAUGUAGGAGACCCAGGUUUAAUCCCUGGGUCGGGAA